UACCGCGGUUAUACGAGAGGCCCAAGCUGACAGACCCCGGCGUAAAGAGUGGUUAAGAUAAACACACACUAAAGCCGAAUAGCCCCAGAGCUGUUAUACGCAUCCGAAGGCUAGAAGUACACCUGCGAAAGUUGCUUUACUACACUGAACCCACGAAAGCCAAGGCA
rnacentral:rRNA from 1 species